GACACAGGAACUGAAAAACCUGAGAAGCUCCAGCCACUCCGCAGGGGCCCUGCAGGGAAGCGUGGAAAGGCGGCACAGGGCUGGACCCAGAGGAGCUCUCAGAUGCUGGACUGGACUGUUUCAGGGGUCAUCUAGCCCAUUCCCCGCCUCCAGGCGAGGAUUUGCUUGAGCCUGGAAAGAUGAAGGAUCCUCCCAGUGCCGUCAAGCCCCGGAUUCCACCUCCCUGUAGGUGGACUGCCAGCGCAGGCCCUGACAACGCAGAGAAAGACACAGGACCCAGCUGGGCCAGUGACAGCAGGAGCUCCUGGUGCCACAGG
rnacentral:lncRNA from 1 species